GCCACAUGAUGUUAAAUGGAUGAAUUGAGCACACUGUGCCAAGAUGACUCAUAUCUAUCACCCUUGACUGAUGGCU